rnacentral:rRNA from 1 species
GAUGAACGCUGGCGGCGUGCCUAAUACAUGCAAGUCGAGCGAACAGACGAGGAGCUUGCUCCUCUGACGUUAGCGGCGGACGGGUGAGUAACACGUGGAUAACCUACCUAUAAGACUGGGAUAACUUCGGGAAACCGGAGCUAAUACCGGAUAAUAUAUUGAACCGCAUGGUUCAAUAGUGAAAGACGGUUUUGCUGUCACUUAUAGAUGGAUCCGCGCCGCAUUAGCUAGUUGGUAAGGUAACGGCUUACCAAGGCAACGAUGCGUAGCCGACCUGAGAGGGUGAUCGGCCACACUGAAACUGAGACACGGUCCAGACUCCUACGGGAGGCAGCAGUAGGGAAUCUUCCGCAAUGGGCGAAAGCCUGACGGAGCAACGCCGCGUGAGUGAUGAAGGUCUGCGGAUCGUAAAACUCUGUUAUUAGGGAAGAACAAAUGUGUAAGUAACGAUGCACGUCUGGACGGUACCUAAGCAGAAAGCCACGGCUAACUACGG